GACGAACGCUGGCGGCGUGCUUAACACAUGCAAGUCGAACGGAAAGGCCCUGCUUUCAGGGUACUCGAGUGGCGAACGGGUGAGUAACACGUGGGUGAUCUGCCCUGCACUUCGGGUUAGGCCUGGGAAACUGGGUCUAAUACCGGAUAGGAGCCAUUUUUAGUGUGAUGGUUGGAAAGUUUUUUCGGUUUAGGAUGAGCUCGCGGCCUAUCAGCUUGUUGGGGGGGUGAUGGCUUACCAAGGCGGCGGCGGGUAGCCGGACUGAGGGGGUGGACGGCGAUACAGGGACCGAGGGGAGGCACAAGUUGCGAAGCGAGGGAAAAGGGGGGAAGACUGAAGAAGGGGCGCAAGGUUGAUGAAGAGGAGCUGCGGGGGGGAGGACGGUGUUAGGAGGGAAGAAUACAUGCGCAAGGAACGAAGCUUGUCGUGACGGUACCUAGACAGAAAGCAACGGCUAACUACGUG
rnacentral:rRNA from 1 species